AUACAACUCACUACGAGACCGUACAAAGUUAUUACAACCAAACAAAAGAAAAGGGAAAUUACAAAAGCCGGUUUCAGUAAGAUUCUCCAUGGAUUCCUUUUUCACUGUUCUAACAGAUUUCCAAUUCGAAGGUUGUGUCAUUGGCUUCACUUGGUUUAUGGUGCCCAUUGCUUCAAGAAAAUCACUAUUUUUCAGUAUAAAUCAAAUAGGGAAAACUAUCAUGAUGCAUUGAUUCAAAUGCUGUCGAACCAAAGGGUAUUUUGUUCUGGUAAUGGCAUGCCGACGAGAAAUCUCAGUGAUCAACAUCAGGUGUUGUGUUGUAAGAGAUUGAUGGUGACAAAUGUUAAGACGAUGUUCGAGAGAUUGAAUGAAUCAAAGACGUCACCAGGAUAUGCAGCACUUUUGAUCCUACUCCACAUGUUCAUUUUGAAAGAGUUCAAUAGGAAUCCCAUGAUGCACAAAACCUGCUCCUAUGACAUAAACCAGACCUGCAUAGUCAAAGGAAAAACAUCAAAUACCAUGAAGCUAUUCACAUAA